AGAGUUUGAUUAUGGCUCAGGAUGAACGCUAGCUACAGGCUUAACACAUGCAAGUCGAGGGGCAGCAGGACGAUAGCUUGCUAUGUUGCUGGCGACCGGCGCACGGGUGAGUAACGCGUAUCCAACCUUCCCCUUAGUAGGGCAUAGCCCGGUGAAAAUCGGAUUAAUACCCUAUGUUAUUCGUCGAGGACAUCUGAAGUGAAUCAAAGAUUUAUCGCUAAGGGAUGGGGAUGCGUCUGAUUAGGUAGUCGGCGGGGUAACGGCCCACCGAGCCCUCGAUCAGUAGGGGUUCUGAGAGGAAGGUCCCCCACACUGGUACUGAGACACGGACCAGACUCCUACGGGAGGCAGCAGUGAGGAAUAUUGGUCAAUGGGCGAGAGCCUGAACCAGCCAAGUAGCGUGCAGGAUGACGGCCCUAUGGGUUGUAAACUGCUUUUAUACGGGGAUAAAGUGAGGGACGUGUCCCUUAUUGUAGGUACCGUAUGAAUAAGGACCGGCUAAUUCCGUGCCAGCCGCAGC
rnacentral:rRNA from 1 species